GACGAACGCUGGCGGCGUGCUUAACACAUGCAAGUCGAACGGAAAGGCCCUGCUUUUGUGGGGUGCUCGAGUGGCGAACGGGUGAGUAACACGUGAGUAACCUGCCCUUGACUUUGGGAUAACUUCAGGAAACUGGGGCUAAUACCGGAUAGGGGCUCCUGCUGCAUGGUGGGGGUUGGAAAGUUUCGGCGGUUGGGGAUGGACUCGCGGCUUAUCAGCUUGUUGGUGGGGUAGUGGCUUACCAAGGCUUUGACGGGUAGCCGGCCUGAGAGGGUGACCGGCCACAAUGGGACUGAGGUAGGGAGCAGAAGGGUACGGGAGGCAGCAGGGGGAAGUAUGGCACAAUGGGGGGAAGCCUGAGACAACGGCGCCGCGUGCGGAAUGACGGGCUUCGGGUUGUAAACAGCUUUCGACUGUGACGAACCGUGAGUGACGGUAAUGGGUAAAGAAGCACCGGCUAACUACGUG
rnacentral:rRNA from 1 species